rnacentral:lncRNA from 1 species
CCCUCGGUCCCGGCCCGCAAAGAAGCCUGGAGUCCGUGACGGGGUGGAAGGGCCUUCGUGUGGCGAGGCAAGCGGAGCAGAGCCCACGCCUGGGACCCCGCGUCCGAGGGGCGCCCCAGGAACCAGGGGUUCGAGAUUCCAGGGCUCGAGCCCCGCCCUGUCUCGUACUGACUGAUUUGGGACAGAAUAUUUAACUAGUUAGUCUUAGUGUCUUCCCUUGUAGGAUGUGGAAAAUAAUCAUACCAACCUCCAAGUUUUAGGAGGGUGAUGAAACAGUAUGAGGAAGAAAGUGCAUGGCACAGUAUUUCCUGUCAGCCUGUGGUGGGUUCUUUGAGGGCAGCGGCCCGCGGCGGUGUCUGGAGGCUUGAGGAUGGGCAUACUCCACUGGUCCGGGAGCAGGACCGUCUCCAUGGUAACUGGAUGGUUUUCAAAGUUUGGACUCUGUUAUCUUGACUUGGAAGACUGAGGAGGCGCUACAGUCUUUGUGAAAGGUGCCUCAAACUUAGCCUGAUGAUUAACGCUCGUAAUUAGGCCAUUGGAUCAGGGUACUGUCACCAAGUUGGAUGGAAUCCCCUGCGUCUCUCAGCACACCCCUUGAGACCUGAAAAUAUUUCUCCAAGCAUUUCUACUCACUUGAUUUUGGAAAACGUUGACAAGACUCUCUACUCCACAUGUAGUUGUGACAGAGCAAAUAUAACAGGUUUUUUUUUUUCGUCACAGAACAAAGAUGAGGCAGUUUGAAAACUGGAGCAGAAAAACAAACUGAUUAAUCUGCCUAAAUCAAUCUGAUUAAUCUGCCUAAAUUCACUUUAGUUUGCAUUUGUAAUUUGUAAUUUGACCUGCCUGAUUGAGGGCUUGGUAUGACUGAGGUGGGGCUUUCAGUUUCCCUCAGGAGCUUGUUGAGUAAUGGGCAGGACAAAUGAUGAUCUUGGAAAAACAGCAGCCCAUGCUUCCUUCUUCAUAAUAUGAUGCCUUUGUUCUGCAGUAUUAAAGAAAAGGGGGCGGGGUGCAAAGGCAUGUUUUGGAGCAAAACUCUUCCUCAUUGUAGGCCAGUCCUUGACUCCAAGGGCAUAAAGUGGAGCUAAGUCUGCUUCCGUAUAAAAAGUAUGUCUAGAAAAUGAAGACCAGGAAAAGACAAAGAGUACAUGAAGGUAUAGCCAAAUUCUGGUUUCCUCCUACACAUCUUAAAAGUGUAAACAGUGCCAAGAGAAGGCUGGCCUAGAAUCUUUAAUCUUCGUGAUUUCCCACACUCCAGAUUUGUUCUUGUCCUUGUGGGACCAAAAAUUUUGUCUGAUUUUCAGUAUUCUAGGGUUGAUUAGCACUGUUGUAUAAAAUCAGAAUUUUACAUUUGGUGUGCAAAGUUAAGUAAAAGUGAAAAAAAUGAAAUAACCCUUUUAGAUAUGUCACUCAACAAAUGUUCUACGGCAACCACAGAAUGCAAUCACCUUUGUAGUGCUGGGAUCCACUAAGCAAAAAUAGAAGAAACAGACUUCAGGGAGGAAAUCAGACGACCAAGACAAGUCUUAUCUAUGUGGCAGCACAGAUGAAGUUACCGCCAUUUCGUAGUGAAAAGAAGCUAGCCCUCCAAGAGCACCCUUGCUGAGUUCGCUUCUAAGAAGGUGCCCUUGGAGAGCUGGGUGGUGUAGGAUGGCUGUCCUUGAGGUUCAUUCACCAGUAGCCUGUCGGAGCUAAUUACUUGUGCAGGGCAGAGCCCUUCAAAUCACCAUCCAUUCUUCCUGUGAAGCCCCCAUUGAAGACAAACCAUGACUACUCCGUGAAUAUUUGAACAAGCUCUCUAGGAGAUCAAGCAUGGCGUUUUCUUCACUGACUGCACACCUCAGGCAGCCCAUACCCAGCUCAAGGUGCAGGGUGGAGGCUAGGGGUAGGUGAGUUUGUGUGCUUUGUUAUCAGGCUUCUUCAGGAAGCACAGGUACCAUUAGUCUGCAUAGACUGAAAAUACAAAGAUGUGGGCUUCAUGAAGGAUGUUUUUUCUGAGUGCUGUCUCAUUAAGG